UACGUAGGGUGCAAGCGUUAAUCGGAAUUACUGGGCGUAAAGCGUGCGCAGGCGGCUUUGCAAGACAGAUGUGAAAUCCCCGGGCUUAACCUGGGAACUGCAUUUGUGACUGCAUGGCUAGAGUGCGGCAGAGGGGGAUGGAAUUCCGCGUGUAGCAGUGAAAUGCGUAGAUAUGCGGAGGAACACCGAUGGCGAAGGCAAUCCCCUGGGCCUGCACUGGACGCUCAUGCACGAAAGCGUGGGGAGCAACAGG
rnacentral:rRNA from 1 species